rnacentral:rRNA from 1 species
UACGUAGGGACCAAGCGUUGUUCGGAUUUACUGGGCGUAAAGGGCGCGUAGGCGGCGUGUUAAGUCACUUGUGAAAUCUCUAAGCUUAACUUAGAACGGUCAAGUGAUACUGAUGUGCUAGAGUGCAGAAGGGGCAACCGGAAUUCUUGGUGUAGCGGUGAAAUGCGUAGAUAUCAGGAGGAACACCGGUGGCGAAGGCGGCUUUCUGGACAGAUACCGACGCUGAGGCACGAAAGCUAGGGGAGCAAACAGG